GAAUGAAGAAAGCACAGUAAUGUGCACAAAAAUUGAUUUGGGUCUCUAGGUCUGCUUUCGCUGAUGUCUUUCGCCUUUGAUUUUGGGGCAUGGUUCCUCAGCAAAACG